UUCGAACGCGAUUAACUUCGUUUUUAGAUAGUACAUUCAAAACACUAAUAUGUUCCAAAUGAAGUUAAUUAUUAUAACUUUCUUGCUGAUGUGCCUUUUUUAUGAGGGAACGGCAUUUUCAAAAUCUGACUGCGGGCUGCCUAUAGAGCAAUUUCCACCAAUGGGACAAUCGUGUAGGGCCAAUAUGCAAGUUUAUACCUGGAGUAACUCCCAGAACAAAUGUGUACUGGGUUAUUAUGGAGGAUGUUCCGGAACCAACAACUUGUUUCAUCUAAAGGAAGACUGUGAAAAAAUUGCAAAACCUAUUUGUCAACAGUGAACGUAGGAUCCGAUCUCGAAUGUAUUUACUGUAAUAUGUUAUCGAAAUUUGUUGAAUAAAAUUACAUUUCCAGAAAGGUGUUGAAA